UACGUAGGGGACGAGCGUUGUCCGGAGUUACUGGGCGUAAAGCGCCCGCAGGCGGUCCGCUCAGUUUGCGCUGACAGCUCCUGGCUUAACUGGGAGAGCGGUGCGAAGACGGGCGGACUGAGAGGACCAGAGAGGGACAUGGAACUCCGGGUGUAGUGGCGAAAUGCGUAGAUAUCCGGAAGAACACCAAAGGCGAAGGCAGUGUCCUGGCUGGUACCUGACGCUGAGGGGCGAAAGCUAGGGGAGCGAACGGG
rnacentral:rRNA from 1 species